rnacentral:rRNA from 1 species
UACGUAGGGUGCAAGCGUUGUCCGGAAUCAUUGGGCGUAAAGCGUCCGCAGGUGGCCGUUCAAGUCUGCUGUCAAAGACUGGGGCUUAACCCUAGAAAGGCAGUGAAAACUGAACAGCUAGAGUGCGGUAGGGGUAGAGGGAAUUCCCGGUGUAGCGGUGAAAUGCGUAGAGAUCGGGAAGAACACCAGUGGCGAAAGCGCUCUGCUGGACCUGCACUGACACUGAGGGACGAAAGCUAGGGGAGCGAAUGGG